CUUCACCGACCCCAACAACAGCGGCCGAUCCUGCGGACGCUCCCGCCCGUACGUCGCCAACAACGCCUGCGCCUC
rnacentral:antisense_RNA from 1 species